CAUAACGGAUGGUUGUGAGCCACCAUGUGGUUGCUGGGAAUUGAACUCAGGACCUCUGGAAGAGCAGUCAUUGCUCUUAACCUCUGAGCCAUCUCUCCAGCCCCCAUGAUGUAGCCAUUAAAAAUGUGGAUCUUGGGGUGGGGUGAAAAAAAUGUGGAUCUGCAUAUGUCGUAUACAGCAUGAGCCCAUUUCAUUAUAUUUAUGUUGAAUAGUUAAUGUAUAAUAUGUAUAAUACACAUACAGUAUGCAUGAAAGAACAUUAUUUCUCAAAAUGUGGUCUAAAGACAGGCUUGGAACAGUUAAGAGUGCUUGCUGGUCUUCCUAGCACCUACAUCUAGUGGCUCAACCAACGCCAGUUCCAAGAGAUCCAGUGCCCACUUCUGGUCUCUGUGGGCACCCAAACACAAAUAGCACAUACUCAUACAUAUUGACCACACACACACACACACACACACACACACACACACACACACACACACACCAUGCACCACACGCAUAUAAAUAAAUUCUUAACUGUCAACAGCCUAUGUUGUGAAAAACUGAUACUCUAAAAUUGGAGAUUCUUGGGGAUUGUGCUAGUUUCCAAGAAUCAUAAUCACUCUGCGUGAAACUUGGAAACCUGUAUUUCUAGUAAGUUCCUCAACUUAACCCAGAGUUUGUCCCAGUAACUACCAGCAUUGGGUUAGGUAUUUGGUGGUGGUUUGUUUUUAGAAAGCCUUUUCAAAGAGAUGUGGUAUUUUUAGUGGAGCUUCCCUAAGAUCGGUGGUCAGUGACAUCACUGACAGAGACCUAUAGUGAAAAACAAACAAACUAUUCUGGCAUAAAAAAAAAAAAAGAAAGAAAGAAAGAAAGAAAGAAAAAAGACUACUUCCUGUAGGAGAGUAAGGCCCAUCAAGUCAACAGUCUCUUUUAAAGACUACUUCCUGUAGGAGAGUACAGGCCCACCAAGUCAACAGUCUCUUUUAAAGACUACUUCCUGUAGGAGAGUACAGGCCCACCAAGUCAACAGUCUCUUUUAAAGCACCUUUGCUAUUGUUUCACUUCAGAUGGCUUGUCAACAAGACAAAACUAAACAGAGCUUACUAUGUGAAGGUUGGCAUCUCUGGGUGCAUCUGCAGCCUGGAGCAAGGUACUUGCAGAACUUGUGCAAAUAAGCAUCUCUGUCUUGAGGGAGGGGUUGGGUUUGGAAAAGCCAACAUUUAGGAUUCAUGGUGGCAGCAGGGAUGCAGAAAGCCUUGCACUGAGUCAACCUUGCACUGAGAAGCAACUGCUAGGAAUGUAGAUUAUUGUUUCCAGUCUGUUUAGAGCAAAGAAAGAAAUGGAGACACUCCGUGUUUACUUCAUUCACUUCCAUUCUACUCUUUCCUGGACACAGAUUCCCGGAACCAAUAACUAAGCCAGGUCGAUAGGGACACUGCCCAUGGUAGCUGCAGCUGAUGGGCUUGAAUUCUUUCUUUUUUACAAGGGUGGUAAGUCAGUGUGUAGCCAGUGUGUACUGACUUCUCAGGGUUAACCUGAAGAUCCAUCUCCACAGUUUUCUUCCGAAGCAUCUUGACCCCAACAGCCCUUGGGCCUAACUGGUUACUCUAGUAGGGUCUCUACAAUGCAUUGUGCUUGUGUUUUCCCUAGUGAAACUUUAGUACACACUGCACCACAGAGAGCAAAGAUGUGCUUUAUGAGGUGAACUCUGACUCUAGUCCAGGGAGGCAGCAGAAACACAUUGCUUCUCAUGCAUUCAAGGGAAGUCAGAAAACCAAUUCCCUCCCAUUUGUCUGCAUGGAGAAGAUUGUAAAAUGUGAUUAACGUGAUUCCUAUGCCUGUUUCUCCAUAUGUUGCAAAAUAUGUUUCUUUUUCCUCAGAGCUAUAAUGGAAUGGAAUGAUUUUUCUACACUAGUGUUUCGCAUUAACUUUAACUUUGUUUUGUUGUUUUCUACCAUAUCGUUCUCUCCUGUGUAUCUGGUGCACUUGAGUGAUAAUGAGAUGGCAAAAUAGGCAAGAUCCGUCUUCCGUAUCACACACUCCCCUUGCCUUGCUAGCUGUGUCUGCAGCUGGGUCCACUGUGUAAUGCCCUGGGCCAUCCGAGCACUCAUCUGAACUCUCUUGCUGACAGUUUAACCAGCAACUUUCUAUUCCUGACCCUCCUAUGGUGCCACAUACUUGUCGAUCACAGUUUCUUCUUCUCUCCUUUGAUUUAAAAACGAACCCCCUACCAUAUAUGCCACCACUUUCUUCUUUUGUAAUUCCACACAGGUUCAGAAUCCUGAAUCCUGUUUCAAUAAUGACUUCUUUCCCUAAGCCUUUAUUUACAUCAAGUUGACAUCCAUAAGACCUUUGAGUGGAGAAAACAGCCAGAAAGAAAGUCAUGAGCUGCACCUGCAAUGGGAAAUAAUGCACUGUGAGUUCACCAAUGAGAAAAAACCAUUCCAGCAAUAACGCGCAAUGCACUGGGAUAGUUGGAUGAAGCUGUGCUAUUAAAUCCCCUUCAGAGGCAGCGAGAGGACAGCAGAGCCAGACCAGGAAUGCAAGUCAUGCUCUUGUCUGCUCGGGGAGCCAUCCUGAGGUGCGGAUCUGCACCCUCUAUACCCAUUCAGGUGCUUGGGGACAUGAAAGAAACAGGUCGUGUGAAGGAAAUUUUGGAGCUAGAGGUUCCUGAAGCACCUCACCUUAAAAUGUCCAGAGAGAGUCGGAGUUCCAUUUCUAGUAACAUUACAAUGGGCAAUUGUACUUCUCAUUGCUGGGACAGAACACAGCAAGAGCAGCGUGAGGAAAGAAGGGUUUGUGCUGGCUCCAGUGUGAAGGUAGAGGCCGUCCAUCAAGGUAGAGGAGCUGUGCGUCAGGAAUGGAGGUUCACGUGGUAUCCGCAGCCAAGGAGGUUUGAUGAAUGCUGGUGUUCCCCUCGUUUCUCUCUUAUCCAGUCGGACACCCCAGCCAACCUGCAGGGUGGGCCUUCCCCAAUCCGUUAAUUCUUUAUAGAAACACCUUGACAGACUCACUCAGAAGUGUGUUUGCGUGGUGAUUCUUAAUCCUAUCAAGUUGACACUGGCAACCAGAGUAAUUAACAUCAAAUGUCCCAUUAGAUAGUAAACAAGAACGUAAGGAAAGACUUUCUACAUUUAUUUAUUAACUUAUUGUGUGUGUGCACACAUGCCCACCCGUGCGUGUCACGAGCUCUGGCCGAGUUGAGAGGACGGUGUUGAGGAGUUGGUUCUCCUCUGCCCUGUGAGCCCCGAGGAUCAAGUUCAGCUCAGACCUGGCAGCUGUGGCCUCACCCACUCACAUCUCACUGGCCCAGCAAAGACUUUCAAAACCAACGUAUUUCCUGGGAAUGCUGGCCAAUUCUAGAAGAAACCCUGAAGAUGUGAGAUUACUUUCUGGUCAUCUUAUUGCUUCAGGGAGCUAAAAACUGGAUGGCAGUAAUUUCCAAGUCAUGAGAGAGGACUGAGAGAGUGCUUAUGCCCUGGGUUAGGGCCUUAGAACUCCCUACCAUAGGAAUAAAGCUGAAGUUGCAGACGCGUGGGCAGAGAGCUCAGCACUCGAGAGGUUGAGGCAGGCGGAUGAGGAGCUCAGAAUCAGCUGUGCUUGCAGAGCAGGGCGGCUCAGUCCCCUCCCCAGGUCAUCUCAAUUUCUGAAACCAGGUUCAAGUUUCCCUGUGGCUGCCUGACAGUAAAGAUGUACUGCGGAGGGACAAACAGCCUGUCAUCUUGAACUUAGAGCUGUAUAGUUUCUCAAGAUCAAUGCGUAGACUACCUGAGGUUCCAUGGCAAUGCAGCACUUAGAAGAAUAAACAACACUGGAUAAAACUGCUUGAAACCCAAGUCUGAAGCUGCUGAAGAACUUGGAGUUGGGCUUUGGCUCGGGUCUUGGAACGUAGCUUUCUAAAACGCUCCACCUUUGCUACUCUGUGCUUAUGCUCAGCAAUGCGGUUUAUGUUGAAUGCCUUCUUUGGGGAGUAUGGAAUUGUGAUGUGUGCAGCAGCCAUAACACAAACUUUGGACAGUAAGUGUCUAAUGAGCAUCCAGAGCUUGGCACAAUUCCGUGCUGGCUGAAUAAAGCACAAGAUGUUGUCCUCUAGGGAAAGGAAGCUCAGGCCUUGUUUCCCCCAGAUCUCUCCCUAUGCAUUUUUCUUCCCUUUGUUGAUUUGGCUUCUCAUUGUUUUGCUGUAAUAAAUCAUAGCCUUGAACACA